AAGUAGAUCUUGACUCGGCAAUUUCUGGGGCUGUAUUCCAGUAGAAUGACAAUAAUUUAUUCUUUUCCAAGGCCUUUCGGCCUGAAAGGAAUCAAAAGAGCUUUCCAAAGAAUAAUGCAGAAAACCUAUUUCCAAAGUCACUAAGCCGGAUCCAUCCUGCAGUUCAUUCACUGAUCAAUUCUUUUGACAAACAUGGACUUGAUACCUACUGUGCUGAACACUGGGAAAGAUGCCUAAGGGGUAAGUGGUUGGUGCAAAGGUGCAGAGAGUGGACAACAACGGCAGAAAACUCAGAAACUGCUAAGAAAAUGGGCUAGAGUUGAGUAUCACAGAUAAGUGAAGUUUUCACACACACCCCCAUCAAAGAAACUUCUCUUUGCAACAGCUACAGACCGUUACAGAAAACAACCAAUCAAAAUGCAGAGGUGUGGAACCCAGUAAAACCCACUGGAUACAAAUACUCCUGCAUCUAAGGCUCAGGGAAUAUUGCAGAAGAGAGGGUAGAAAGAUUAUAAAAGACAGAAGAUUAAGGAUUUUGGUGUAUGGUUGUGUCUCCUAGUAAUAUGAGAAUCUAUACCCAUAAAAUCUCACUAAUGUAACCAUCCGAAUGUGAUGCGAACAAGGAUGACACCAAUGGACACGCCAACCUGGACAGAGGAGAACCCACAAAGUCUCAAGUCUACACAAAAACAUCAGGCGACUGGGAAAGCAAGGAGUGAGAAAGGUCUUCCUCAGGGAGAGCGUACUCGUCGGUGUUCUAGUGCCAAAUGGUCAGCCCGGAAAACAUGCAUCCAAGUAAAAUACAUGCUCCCCUUCCCUGCCAGCAAGUGAAAAGUAAGUAACAACGGAUAGAAGUUCCAUUGAUACCACGCUCACUACACACUUACAGCAUGCUUUCGGGGAUCACGGAGUGCGCGUGCCUGGGAGCUGUUCUCGCUUCAUGCUUGACGUUAAGCCUAACGUUCUCCAGAACACGACUGUGCUUUUUUGGCUCCUGGUGUCAAGUGCGUAUAACCUGAACAGUGUCUUCCAGUCCUGCACUUUAUGAGGAAUGCAACAGCGGGAAACAGUGCUAUUAGGUGAUCUCUUCAGGCUUUGGUCUGAAGAGCAUGGUCAGGCCCGGGGUCCUCUACUAAACUUGACAUAGAAAGCCCACUGAGUAUGUACCAAAAAGUUUCCUUCUUAGGUGUGUACACACAGGUACUGGUAAUUUGGGAACUGAGAGACUGACUAUUGGGCACAGCCCCUGGCUUGCUCAGGCUUGCCUGUGAGCCCAUACAAAGCGGUGACUCAGGAAUACUGCAUGGAUUCCUAUCCGCCCUCAGCCAAGCUCUCUCUAGAGGGGAGGGCAUUCCACCACAUAUAAAUAUUAAAACGUCUCUUUAAGCGGGUGGAUAUUUAUGAGUACCAGCAUUAAAACUCUCUUUUACUGCCCCCUCAAUCCCACUGAUUAUUUAUUGUUUGAAAAGAUAAAUACAGGAAAGUAAUUGACCUAACAAUGGCCUAUUCUUGAUUACACAUUGCAUUAAAUCCAGAAAUUGUAAAGAGGGUACUUUGAAAUCUGUCUUUGGCAUCAGCAAAGACUGUGUAAUGAAAAGGUACGUGGCUUAGCCUAAUAGAUGAAUGCAAACCACAGGUCCUAAGAGGCUUGCAGUAGAUCAGCAUCAGUCUAGUUCUGCUGGAGAAAGAGACAGAGUUCAAGGCUCCUAACACACUGUUACAUCUCCAUAGCCUUGUACACAGCAUUUAGUGUAUAACAGGCAUCUCAGAAUGUAUGGCAUGAACGAAUGAGGGAGGGAGUCCUGUGGAUAGCCAAGGAAAAACAUGACUGUUCUUUCCAUCAAUUCAACACCCUAUUCCAUUUGUGCUGGGUCAUGUUUUGCUGAGGAUAGCCUGUAUAUACCCUUCAACCUCAUCUGAGUAAAUACUUAGCUAGAUGAAUAGAUCCCAAAGUUCAAGUCAUUUGUUUGAAAAACAUCUAAAUGAGUAAAUGUACAAUCAUUUUAACAAUCAGGGUAGAGUAUGUUUAUUUAUCUGGGGUUAGGAGGGGAGGUGGCCUUAGGAAUGGAUAGUUAUUGCAUAUCAACCCUCCUCCUUAGAAGACUAGUUACAUCUUUCACUCCUGAAAACAGAUAAUUUAGUCUGUCUGUUAUUAGUAGCAUCAGCCCAAAAGUGGGGCUCUCAGAACAUAGAAAAAUUAAUGAGAACUCAAGUUUUAAAAGAGAAGGGAAAGUAGAGUUAAUGAUAUAUCCGUUACUCUUAGCACUUACCUGGUCAUAGCGAUUCUUUCAUUAAGAGAUUUCUCAUUAUUAUCUAAAAGUCACUUAAACAUGAAUGGCAUUAUGUUCUGAGGGGGGAAAGUCUGAUUGUUUCAUUCAACUGAUGAGUUAAAUCUCCAUAGAAAAAGCAUUUAUCACUGGGAUUCCUGAAGUGAAAUGAGAUGGCUUUGGCUCUGCUUGUAGG